CGGGGUGAGUAAUGUACGGGGAUCUGCCUGAUGGCGGGGGGUAACUACUGGAAACGGUAGCUAAUACCGCAUAAUGUCUGCGGACCAAAGCGGGGGACCUCCGGGCCUCGCGCCAUCAGAUGAACCCAUAUGGGAUUAGCUUGUAGGUAAGGUAACGGCUUACCUAGGCGACGAUCCCUAGCUGGUCUGAGAGGAUGAUCAGCCACACUGGGACUGAGACACGGCCCAG
rnacentral:rRNA from 1 species